GUACCAACCUUAACUUCCCCUUUUCAAUGUUUUUGAUAGGACACGUUUGAAAUAACAGAGCAUCCUGCAUUCUUGAUUCAGUGGCGGAUUCAGGAGACCAAGUAACUCUUCUGUUGUGGCUUUUUUGGUAGCUUGGAGAAUGCUUGUUAAAGUGAAGUACAGAGAACAUCAAAAAUAUGUCAAGGUUACUGAGAGUGAUGGGAACUAUGAUUACCAGCUUUUCCACCAAGCAGUAAUUGACAAAUUUGGUCUGCCCCCUGACACUGAGAUCAUUUACAAAGAUUCCUCGGGAACAGAAGUUGACCCGGACAUCUUUUCCGAACUGUUGAAUAAAGGGGAGGAUUUGUUGAAGGUCUAUGUGACUGAUGAUUUUGAGGAUGUAUCAGUGUGCUCCGAAGGAUCAUACCCUUCAGAUGCCUCCACAGUCGUGCUGGAUGAAAGCCAGGGUGAGACCCAAAGCAAGAAAAUAAGAAAAGAUGACCAA